UCCCUGGUAGUAUAUCGGUUAGUACACGCGCCUGUCAUGCAAUGGUUAUAAAUAUAUUCGUUGCUCGCGCGAAAGCUGGGUUCGACUCCCAGCCAGGGAG